ACUCAAAGGAAUUGACGGGGGCCCGCACAAGCGGUGGAGCAUGUGGUUUAAUUCGAUGCAACGCGAAGAACCUUACCAAGGCUUGACAUCCUCACGCAAGCUGUAGAGAUACAGCCCUCCUUCGGGACGUGGGAGACAGGUGGUGCAUGGUUGUCGUCAGCUCGUGUCGUGAGAUGUUGGGUUAAGUCCCGCAACGAGCGCAACCCUUAUCUUUAGUAGCCAUCAGGUAAUGCUGGGCACUCUGGAGAGACUGCCGUGGAUAACACGGAGGAAGGCGGGGAUGACGUCAAAUCAUCAUGCCCUUUAUGUCUUGGGCUACACACGUGCUACAAUGGUCGUAACAGAGCGAAGCGAAAGGGUGACCUGGAGCAAAGCGCAAAAAAACGGCCUCAGUUCGGAUUAUAGUCUGCAACCCGACUAUAUGAAGUUGGAAUCGCUAGUAAUCGCAAAUCAGCAUGUUGCGGUGAAUACGUUCCCGGGCCUUGUACACACCGCCCGU
rnacentral:rRNA from 1 species